ensembl:snRNA
GACUUAUAUAAAAGGAGAGAAGUUUAGCUCUCCCCUUGACAAAGAUUGAAGAGGCUCUUGGCCCAACAACAUACAUAUGGUUAAAGCAUUGCCACCUACUUCAUGACAUCUAACCAGGAUGAAGU